rnacentral:lncRNA from 1 species
CAAGUAAUACUAAUUUCAUCAAAUUCUUGAGUGACAAGUUCAUCUUUGGUUAUUAAACAUGAUGGUUUGCAGGCCAUCAAGUUUAUGGCGCACGAAUUGAUGAGGCUGUUAAUACAUCAAAGCUGGGAGACUUUUUAUUUCCCACAAGACCACAAGUGAAUAUUUUAGUAGCAGAUUAUAUGGACAAGAUUCUGAUGGCAGACAUUUGGCCACUACCACAGCCAACGUUUUUCCAAGCCACUUACAUAACACAGGAUAAGUACUGG